rnacentral:rRNA from 1 species
GACGAACGCUGGCGGCGUGCUUAACACAUGCAAGUCGAACGAUGAACCCGGAGCUUGCUCCGGCGGAUUAGUGGCGAACGGGUGAGUAACACGUGAGUAACCUGCCCUUGACUCUGGGAUAACUGCGGGAAACUGUAGCUAAUACCGGAUACGACCCUCGGCGGCAUCGCCAGGGGGUGGAAAGAAUUUCGGUCAAGGAUGGACUCGCGGCCUACCAGCUAGUUGGUGAGGUAACGGCUCACCAAGGCGACGACGGGUAGCCGGCCUGAGAGGGUGACCGGCCACACUGGGACUGAGACACGGCCCAGACUCCUACGGGAGGCAGCAGUGGGGAAUAUUGCACAAUGGGCGCAAGCCUGAUGCAGCAACGCCGCGUGAGGGAUGACGGCCCUCGGGUUGUAAACCUCUUUUAGUGGGGAGGAAGCGAAAGUGACGGUACCUGCAGAAAAAGCACCGGCUAACUACGUGCCAGCCGCCGCGGUAA